AAAUAUUAUUAAUUCAUGAGUAAACUCAUACCGAUCAUCAUGAAGUUGUGUCUUUUCGUCGUAUGCACUCUGGCUGUUGCCAUUCUUCCGCAAGCUGAUGGAAAAACUUAUCACUUUCUCAAAGAGGGAGCAACCUGGAUUCAAGCUUCCGACCGUUGCAACAGACUGGGUUAUAAUUUGGCUUCAGUUGAGAGUUCGUCAGAUCAGGCAGAAAUAAAUGCCCUGCUUACAAUUGCUGGAGAAAAAAACACAGUGUGGCUUGGUGGUACUACCAUGCUUCAAAAAGGCAAAUUUGUAUGGGUUGGUACCGGCCGAGAAUUCAGCUACACCAAUUGGGCUGAAGAUGAAUCAUAUCCAGAGCCACUUGACAGAAUGUGUGUUCAACAAUCAAUGAUACCAGAUUUUAAAGGUUGGAUAGUUCGUGAAUGCGAGGCAAAUAUUUACUUUAUUUGUGAAGGCUAAGCAAAUUUCAGAAAAAUUGUAACAAUGGUUUAAAUUGUAAUAAAAUACAGUUUUAAUUCGUA